rnacentral:lncRNA from 1 species
AGUUACGAAUACUUUUUUGUUUUUGUUUUUGUUUUUGUUUUUCCUUUCCUUCUCUAAGCCGAGGGUCGAAUGGAAACAGCCUCUCUGCCCUUUCGGGUAGGGGUAAAGCUCGUCUACAUAUUACCCUCCCCAAACCCCACUUUGUGGGACUAUACUGGGUAGUUCUUGUUGUUGUUGUUGUUGGUUAAAUUGUGGGAUGGAUUAUGAGAAAUUCUCUCAUUUUUACUCAGAAAUUUCUAGCAGGAAGUUGCUCCAUCCUUUCAAUAAUAAGUGUGUUUAAACUUCAAUUUUUAUAAUGAAUAUGAUUUUUCUUGAAAUCCUAGUAUACCAUGCUUUACGAGCCAUAUGUAAAUCUACUAAUAAAUAUACAAGUCAAACAUCCAAAGUGAAUAUAAAGUAAUGGCCGUUUGCAGGAGCUACUAAAUUUCAUAACAUCUAGUUCAGUGAAAACCUCACUGCAUCUCUUUCAACAUUUCCCUGUCGAUGUGCGCGUAAGCUGGCCCAGACACCACGAUUAUCAAAAAGAAAAUGCCUUUCAACAUCGUAUAUCUGUCACUUAUGGAAACAUUUGUUUCUUUAAUACAAAUAAUAGACAGAGGCAACUCUAGGAUUUAAACUAUAUGACUCAAUCUUUAAAAUUCUUAGUAAUGAACCCAUUACGUUUUUAAAGCUAUGGGUUCAUAUCUACUAUUUGUUGCAAUUUGAGUGGAGUUUUACACAUAUUUAUGUUCCGCGUCGAAAGUUAUGGGUUCAAUUGAACCCGUCCCUAUAAUGCUAUCCGUAUAGAGCUAGAGCACCUUAUAUAUCCACAAUCAGGAUACAGUAACCAUUCAGCAUUAGUGUAAGGGAAUUACUGUUAAUAAUUUGACUCUUUUGCCUCAAAUAAGAAAUCGAUUACAUCGCAAACUAAAGUAAUUAGCUAAUCUUACCUAUAGAUUAUGUAGUAAAUACAAGACAGAGAAAUACCGUAAAGAAAAUCAGGAUUGGCCAUCAGUUCAGAAAAAUCUUAUUCUAUAUCUCCGUCAAAGAUUAAUUAAUUUCUGGGGGAAAAUCCUAAAUAUUAAAAGAAAUCUUAUAACAAAUAAAAGAAUCAAACGAUCUGCAAUUCAGUUUUUAGAGAUCCUCCAAAUAUCAAUCUCAGUCAAACAUUAAUUACUCGAAUUUACAACUAUCGCAAACAGAAAAAAUUCAAAUUUUCACCACUCACAUGCACACACAUAAGAACCUAUUCAAGCAUAUAUAGGUAGAUAAAUAUAAAUCUGCAUGAAAAAUCAGCCAAGAAAAAAUAAGAAAAAUAAAAAUUACAAUUGAGAGAGAUUAGAGAGGAGAAACUAACUUUUAGAUUUUUGGAGAUGGUUUAGAUCUGUUCUCCGAUGUAGUAUUAAGUUUGUAGAGAGAGAGAUGAAAAUGGAAGAGAAUAUGUUGACCCGUAUUUUGUAAUGGCCUAAUGGGUUUGAAUUCCAAUUUUGAGUCGUUAUGUUAAGAGGAAGCCACAUAGAAGAUGCCAAUCAUCUCGUGCCACAUAUAUUAUGCAGAAAUGAGAAAAAUUUUAUUUUGUGUGUUAUACGAAUAAUAUAAUUGUAUUAUAUUUUUUUGUCUUAUAAUUUUAUAGAUUCAUAUUUUUUUAA